CCAAGGAGUCUAACAUGUGCGCGAGUCAAUGGGGAUCUCUCGAGACCCACAGGCACAAUGAAAGUGAAGGUGGGGCUUGUCCCCACCGAGGCGGGAUCUGUCCGGGGGAACGUAAAAAACUCCCUCCGGCGGCGCACCGCCGGCCCGUCGCAACCGCUUUAUCGCCGGUGCGGCGGAGCAAGAGCGUACACGUUGGGACCCGAAAGAUGGUGAUCUAUGCCCGGGCAGGACGAAGCCAGAGGAAACUCUGGUGGAGGUCCGUAGCGAUUCUGACGUGCAAAUCGAUCGUCGGACCUGGGUAUAGGGGCGAAAGACUAAUCGAACCGUCUA
rnacentral:rRNA from 1 species